rnacentral:lncRNA from 1 species
CUUGCUCGAUAAUCAAUUGUGAAUUGGUGAAGAUCUUUAAAUUAUUAAUGUCAAGUUCUUUGACAAUCUUUAAGUCGACUAAAAGAGCUUCGUUCUUGACAUGGUUAUUUGAGGCUUUUAAAUUAAACCGAAGGACAUAUUCGGUUACAAUCCCUUAAAAAUUGGUGAGGAUGAAACUGGCUCUACUGUCUUGUGCGUUGGAUGCUCCAUCAAUAUGUAGCACCCACACUGAUGCUAAGUCGGUCUCAAAAAUUUUAAUUUGCUUUGGUUUGUCAUUGAGUUCAUCUUCAAAAUUAUUGUCG